rnacentral:ncRNA from 12 species
ACAGCCUGAGGACCGGAAAACCUGCUGCCGGCCCGCCUUGACAUACCCUCCCAACCAACAAGGUGCGAUGUGGGGAAGGCAGUCCCACCAGGCUGU